rnacentral:tRNA from 1 species
GCCUGGGUGGCUCAGUCGGUUAAGUGUCUGACUUCGGCUCAGGUCAUGAUCUCACGGUCUGUGAGUUCGAGCCCCACGUCGGGCU